UCAACGUACAGUGCAUAAAAAAGAGAGAUGGAUAAGAAGAAAGCUAAUUUAAUUAUGGGUCUGGUCUGAAUCUGAUUGAUGAUGGGUACUAUUUUGGAGUGGUUGAAGCAUUACCAAAAGUUGACAAAUGAAGUUGGAGGUUAAUGGAAUCCGAUUAUCCCACCCGUGAAAAGAGGACAUAAAGAGAGUGCUUAUCUAUCUAUAAUCAUCUUAAAUCUUGAGUUGGAGUUCACGCCCCCAUCACCUUUUUCUAUCUUUAGCCUUAAUUAACCAAAUUCCAUCUGUUUCUUUAUCUUAUCCACAUCCAAGGUGGUGGGCUAGUUUAGUUAAUUCUUUGCUGAAAAUAGGCCAUUGAAGAGCUUUCCAAAGAAGAGACCAAAGAAACCUCAAUCGAGAUGGCCAACAAGGAGAUGAAGGUGGAGAUUCCAACGCAUGGUGAACAUAUGACAGGCAUUUCUGGCCGGCUGACAAGACAGCCUAGUACUGGGAAGGGCAACUGUCUAUGCUCUCCCACCACGCAUGCAGGUUCCUUCCGUUGCAGACUUCACCGCUCCCCAAGCCUUCAGCGAACCAGAAGCAUGGACUCUACAUCCCUUCGAGAUUCAACCUCAAAGGGUAAUACUCCCACUGCUGAUGCUGCUGACAAACAGAACACAGUCAAGGCCCAGUAUUGAUUCUUAUAGCUAUAAGUGCAAGUUGCUGGUGCUGCAGCUCCUUUUUAUUGCUUGUACAGCUCGAGCUAUCCACUAUCUUCUUGGUUGUUUCUUUUAUAAUUUUGAAUCCCCCUGCUGUUUGUCUCUCCCUCUCUUUUUUUGCCUAGUAUUUUCAAAUGCAAUGUAUCUGCUGCUUCUUAAGCCUUAAAGGUACAGAGUGUUGGGAUUUUAAUGUAAAGCAGUCUUGUGCUCAA